ensembl:lncRNA
AAGCAUUGUUAGAAGCGCUAACCUUCACCUUGCUUUCUGAGGUUUUUUGACCCUGCUUUAUUCAUUUGAUUUUUCCCUGUCUUGUCGGUCUGGUGUCCCUGUUUUUGCCCUCUCUGUCUGCCUGAUAACUCUAGGACUCUGGGGAGUUUGUCUGUCCUGUUCUCUCUCUUGCUGAGGCCAGCACCAACUAGCAGCCGACUCGGCUCACCUCUCUCUCGGCUUGGACGCUGGACUCCACUGCGGGCUCGUCACUUUCCCUCGCCGCUGUCUGGCUGAUGCCGGUGAAGUCUUCCUGACGGAGUGCUGGCGGUUUCGUUAUCCUCAGAUCUAAUAAACUCUUAAUUCGUUCAUCCGCAGUUGGAUCCUGGUCUCGUUUCUCACAGUUAUUAAAGAGACCACACACACAAACACUCAGUUAUGCAAACUGUAUCUAACCCAAACUGCUGGAUUAUUGGAAUAAAUCAAUGCUUGAGAACGGAAGCUGUCUCGAAUUUUUGCCUAUAAACCUUCUGAUCGAGGUUGAGGAUUAGAUGUCGGCCAACCAGUGCAUCCAAGCACAUAUAUCUUUAACAAGAACAUUUCUUUUUGUUCAUGAUUAAGGUUCUCGUAAUGCAUGGCUACAGUAUAUUCAUGGCGAGAACAAAUUAAUUUAUAUGCAAGUUAAUCCACACAAGUUGAUCUAGACACACGCGUGUUGGGAGAAGGGAAAUUUCACAUCUUCUGUGAACCUCACCUGCAUGUUAUUUUGGACUGUGGGAGGAAACCGGAGUAAACCCACUGACACAGUAAAACUGACACAGGGAGAACAUGCAAACUUCACACAGAAAGACCUCCUGACCCAGUCUCAUACCAGGAACCUUCUUACUUUGAGGCAACAGUGCUACCAACUUAGCCAUGUGAUUUGUUUUGAUGUGAUUGAUGUGAUUUGUACCUGAUAAUUGUUCUUGACGUAAAAAAAAAAAAAAAAAGUUCUUAUAACAACAUUCUCAGAACAUAUUUGAAUGUUCAAGUACAUGUUAAUUGAUCAUGUUAAAAUAAAA